AUGAAGCAACUAGUGGACUGGAGCGAAGGGAAGCAGACGGCCGGGGUGAUGCGAUGGAUGGAUCGAUCAGCGCUUGAUGGCCUUGACCUUGUUCCACGUCUUCUUGCCGAAGUCGCCGACGACCCUGACGCCCUUGAGCACCGCCACCUUCACCUCCAUGGUCCGCUCCUUCACCUGCCGCUGGAACCCUCCCAUCUCUUCUCUCUUCUCUUCUUGGUCGGAGAGGAUUCCUGUGGCUCGCUGGAGGAGACAAAGAAGACGAUGGCGAUUGGCGAUUUGCCGGGUUGGGUGGCGAAAAUGUCGUGCGGAUGGUGGUGGGCUAGCACUGAGGAAUGGGGAUAUAUAGCCGGUGUGCGUUUGCGUGUGGACCUGAACCAGAAGGCCGAGGCUGAGCUGUAA
rnacentral:rRNA from 1 species